rnacentral:misc_RNA from 1 species
UACAAACAUCUCCAUAUAUAUAGGCACUUGGUGAUAUAUAUGUAUAUACAUUCCUUGGUGUACAUGUAUAACAGGAAAAAGAAACGACGAAACCUCCUGUCAUAUUCUUUGCAAAGAAAGCCAUUGUUCGAAAUACAUCAGUAAGUCGUGGGUUAAAUUAUUAAAAUUGUAACGAUUCGAAAUGGCAAGUACCCAGUUGACACCACGACCUAGAAUGACGAAAAAACACGAAAAGCCACGGCCUUUAAAACUUAAUCUUCGACACUCAAGUAUUGAUGAGAGAAUUGCUACAGUUGAAGACUUGGUAUCUCUCAUUGAUAAUGUAGCUUCGAAUUUAUCGAAUGGUUUUCACGACCCAACUCUUCAGCAGAAUAUUAUUACUAUGUGUAAUACUUUGAAACAAUGUGCUCAUCAAUUCGAACCAGUUUAUAAAGAUCAAUUGGACAGAGCUUUUGUAGCCAUACGCAAUGGAAGCCAAGACGAAAGACUCGAUCUGACGACAAGAAUUCAUUUACUGGAGCUAAUUGAACUGAGAGCUAAGCAAUGGCGCUACAAUGACUCAAUGGAUGCUUAUUAUGCAUCCAAGCUUGCUGAUUUAAAUGAACAGUCGGAUAAUAUGAUCGGCGUUGAUGGGAUGAACAACCAAGUAGCAACCCUCAAUCUGACUUCACCCCAAACGCCUCCAGUGCUCGGUGUCGGUGAAGUAAUAAAAACCAGCGGAAAAUUCACUAAACCCACGCGAAUUCCCGGUAAAAAUUACUGCAAAGAUGAAGUUGUGAUUCGCAACAGCGACUCUGGAAAAGUGAUGGGAAUAAAGGGAAGACGUGUUCAUAUGAUAGAGGAGCUCAGCGAGACGAUCAUCUCCUUUCAGCGAGUAAAUCCUGGAGCUAGAGAACGACUGGUCCAAAUAACUGGGACUUCAGAAGAAAAAAUACAUUACGCGAAAGAUUUAAUCAAGGAAACAAUCCAACGAAAUGCUUCACCAGUUCGAAUGGGACCGGCCAGAGCUGCUGACACGAGUGGUAUCGGAGGAUCAAGCUCAUCUUUGAACAGCAGCGCCUCGGACGAAAGUAAUCGUCUUCCUCAGCAGUUCCAGCAGCCAUCGCAGAUGCGCUCGACACUGCUUCACAGCUUGUCGACCAACGACGCGAACAUUGGCGAUUACAAGCACACCGUAAACGUCGGCAAUCAUUCAUUAAAAAUAACUGGAAGCAACUUGAAUCUUGUGAGAACAGCUAAAAUCAUUCUCGAUGAGCACUUUUCCAAGUGGUCUGGAGACAGUGGGAUCGAGUGUUUUGAUUUUACUGAUGACUUUCCAUCUUUUCCCAACACUCCUGUCAAUAAUCAGCAGGUCAAAAUCCCCGAUAAUAAUGCUAAUGUUAAUGUUGAUGCUGCUGUAAAAAGGGAAAAUAGCUUGGAGAGUAAUGCGACUUCCGAGAGCGAAGAAACUUUUAAGUCUACUAAUCAAACGAUUAAAGAAAAAAUUAAUAAUCGACGAAACGAAAAUCGAGAAAUGUCAUAUGAAUUAUUAUUACUCUGCGCAAAAGGUCCUUACGCAAAGCGACCACCAGCUAACUGGGCGCGCAUAAAAGAAGAAUGUCCCAAUAUUAUUCGUAAGGUAGAAACUCGCCGGUCGACCGAUACCAAUUUCAUACGUUCAAACCUACACUAUGGAAUGUCUAAUCAUUGUGACCGCCACCGUCGGUCGUACUAAACCAAAUACGCACUAAAACCAAAACAAUGAACUGCUUAAUCAUUUAUUAACAUUCAUACUCCAUUGAUUUGAUUAAUCAAUAAUUAUUACUUUAUUUUUACUGUUUUUUUUUUUGUUUAAUUGCUUGAUAAACUUUGUGUUUUUAAAAAUCGUACGCAUAUACUAAAAAGUAGCUUACUUUUACUCAAUAUUUUAUAAAGUUUAAAUUUGAUCUUUAUAAUUGCAUUGAACGUGAUAGUAUUUGUAUUUGAAAAAAAUAUUAUAUUGUUUGUACCUGGAGUACGAGAACGAGUAAAAGACUUAUAGGAUAUGAAUAAGUAUUUGUCAUGUAUUGAAUCUCAGAUUUGAAUCUCGGUAUUAGUGAGUUUAAUUAUUAGUAUUAAUAAUAAUAUAAAUAAUUAUAGUAAUGUAUUAAUCGUAAGUAUUUUGUCGAGGGUAAAAAAUUAUCCGUGCCAUAUAAAACUAAUUCCAAAGAUAAAAAAUCAAAUACAUAUUUAAGAUUAAUAUUUAUUAUUAAUAUUGAGAUCAAAAUUUUAUUAGGAGAGCGUUACGAUUUAAAAGAUUAAUGUGAGGAAAUGUAGAAACUUAAAAUAAAUACAUUAAUAACUAAUACAAUAACCAUCAUAAUAAUUAUAAUUAAAAUUGUUAACUAACUCUUGGCUCUUUAAAUUACUAAUUUGUACUUGCACUUUUUUUUAACAAGUCACCGAUUCGCUGGUUCGAACCGGACACUUACAAAGCCAAAGUCGCAACCGCUGGAAUGAGAACGGUGCUGUCUUCAGCUGAAGAAAUUGAUUUAGAAUGAUAA